AUUGAACGCUGGCGGCAGGCCUAACACAUGCAAGUCGGACGAGUGGCGGACGGGUGAGUAAUGUCUGGGAACCUGCCCGCUGGGGGGGGAUAACUACUGGAAACGGUAGCUAAUACCGCAUACCAUCGGAUGUGCCCAGAUGGGAUUAGCUAGUCGGUGGGGGAAUGGCUCACCUAGCCGACGAUCCCUAGCUGGGCUGAGAGGAUGACCAGCCACACUGGAACGGGGACACGGUCCAGACUCCUACGGGAGGCAGCAGUGGGGAAUAUUGGAAAAUGGGCGCAAGCCUGAUGCAGCCAUGCCGCGUGUAUGAAGAAGGCCUUCGGGUUGUAAAGGACUUUUAGCGAGGAGGCGUUACUCGCAGAAGAAGCACCGGCUAACUCCGUGCCAGCAGCCGCGGUAAUAC
rnacentral:rRNA from 1 species